UUGAAGAAGCAUGACAGGAGCCCUAUUACUUGAUUUUCCUGUGCAUACUGUCUCUUCCUCAAUUAGGCGGUUCGCGCUCUCCUUACGGCGCCAAAUUCAAAAGAUUCUGUUUUUCCUGUUUGCUUCGGAUUCAAGCAAGCUGAUUGAGGAAAAUGGUUUCUGGUUUAAUCAAUGCCAAUCCCAUUGUGUAUGAAAAGAAGGAACGCCGAGCUAGAACUGAACCUGGUGAUGUGGAUGCGUAUGCUGUGGAGGCCAUUGACCAACUAGAAAUUUUUGAUCAUCUUAGAGACAUAAAAGAUCCUGAGCAUCCUUAUUCACUGGAAGAGCUGAAAGUAAUAACAGAAGAUGCAAUUGAGGUAGAUGACAGGCAUAGCUGUGUGAGGGUGACAUUCACUCCAACAGUUGAACAUUGCUGUAUGGCAACGGUGAUCGGCCUUUGCUUGCGAGUGCAACUCAUGCGCAGCCUGCCUUUGCAUUAUAAGGUGGAUAUCAGGGUAGCACCUGGAACUCAUGCAACUGAAGCUGCAGGUUUCUCUCUCUCUCUCUCUCUCUCAGACAUUGAAUAAACAGUUGAAUGAUAAAGAACGGGUGGCAGCCGCUUUGGAAAAUCCCAACCUUGUAGAUAUGGUUGACGAAUGUCUGGCUCCAUCUUAUGCUUGAAAGGAACACAUGACUCCAAUUUG